UGCCCCUUGGCAAAAAUAAAUGUUGAAAACGGAACGCUUAGUAGGGUAUAACGCCUCGAAAAGAGUUGAAACAUAACACGAA
rnacentral:sRNA from 1 species